GGCCUCAAAUCAGACAAGAGUACCCGCUGAACUUAA
rnacentral:rRNA from 1 species